rnacentral:rRNA from 1 species
AGUGAACGCUGGCGGUAGGCCUAACACAUGCAAGUCGAACGGCAGCACAGUAAGAGCUUGCUCUUACGGGUGGCGAGUGGCGGACGGGUGAGGAAUACAUCGGAAUCUACUUUUUCGUGGGGGAUAACGUAGGGAAACUUACGCUAAUACCGCAUACGACCUACGGGUGAAAGCAGGGGAUCUUCGGACCUUGCGCGAUUGAAUGAGCCGAUGUCGGAUUAGCUAGUUGGCGGGGUAAAGGCCCACCAAGGCGACGAUCCGUAGCUGGUCUGAGAGGAUGAUGAGCCACUGUGGAACUGAGACACGGUCCAGACUCCGACGGGAGGCAGCAGUGGGGAAUAUUGGACAAUGGGCGCAAGCCUGAUCCAGCCAUACCGCGUGGGUGAAGAAGGCCUUCGGGUUGUAAAGCCCUUUUGUUGGGAAAGAAAAGCAGCAGGUUAAUACCCCGCUGUUCGGACGGGACCCAAAGAAUAAGCACCGGCUAACUUCGU